rnacentral:tRNA from 1 species
GAGGGGAGGUUGAACCAACAAGAACUGCUAACUCUUGCAUCUGGGCCUAAGCCCCCAGUCCCCUUA